AUUGAACGCUGGCGGCAGGCCUAACACAUGCAAGUCGAACGGUAACAGGAAGAAGCUUGCUUCUUUGCUGACGAGUGGCGGACGGGUGAGUAAUGUCUGGGAAACUGCCUGAUGGAGGGGGAUAACUACUGGAAACGGUAGCUAAUACCGCAUAACGUCGCAAGACCAAAGAGGGGGACCGUCGGGCCUCUUGCCAUCGGAUGUGCCCAGAUGGGAUUAGCCAGUUGGUGGGGUAACGGCUCACCAAGGCGACGAUCCCUAGCUGGUCUGGGAGGAUGACCAGACACACUGGAACUGAGACACGGUCCAGACUCCUACGGGAGGCAGCAGUGGGGAAUAUUGCGCAAUGGGCGCAAGCCUGAUGCAGCCGUGCCGCGUUUAUGAAGAAGGCCUUCGGGUUGUAAAGUACUUUCAGCGGGGAGGAAGGGAGUAAAGUUAAUACCUUUGCUCAUUGACGUUACCCGAAGAAGAAGCACCGGCUAACUCCGUGCCAGCCGCCGCCGUAA
rnacentral:rRNA from 1 species